rnacentral:rRNA from 1 species
AGUCGAGCGGUAACAUUUUAUAAGCUUGCUAUCUUGAUGACAAGCGGCGGACGGGUGAGUAAUGCGUGGGAACAUGCCUUGAGGUGGGGGACAACAGUUGGAAACGACUGCGAAUACCGCAUAAUGUCUACAGACCAAAGGGGGCUUCGGCUCUCGCCUUUAGAUUGGGCCAAGUGGGAUUAGCUAGUUGGUGAGGUAAUGGGUCACCAAGGCGACAAUCCCUAGCUGGUUUGAGAGGAUGAUCACCCACACUGGGACUGAGACACGGCCCACACUCCUACAGGAGGCACCACUGGGGAAUAUUGCACAAUGGGCGCAAGCCUGAUGCACCCAUGCCCCGUGUGUGAAAAAAGCCUUCUGGUUGUAAAGCACUUUCUCUCACGAGAAAAGGUUAUUAUUUAAUACCUGCUAUCUGUGACAUUACUGACAGAAAAAACACCGCCUAACUCCCUGCCACCACCCCCGCUAAUACAGAGGGUGCGAGCGUUAAUCUCAAUUACUGGGCGUAAAGCGUACACACGCGGUUUGUUAAACGAGAUGUGAAAGCCCCCGGCUCAACCUGUGAACUGCAUUUCUAACU